rnacentral:rRNA from 1 species
AGAAUAAAAUUAAUGGGGGUUAAAUUUAUUAAAAUAAAUUUUAAAUAAAUAUUUAAUGGGGGUUAAAGUAUUUUUUAAAGAAAAAAUUUAUAAAUUUAUAGUUAAAAGUAUUGUAAAAGAAAUUUGAAAUAAUUGAAAAUUUAUUGAAAAAAAAGUAAUUUUAAAUUAGUGUAUCUUGUGUAUCAGAGUUUAUUAAUAAAUAAUUUUUAGGGGGAAAAUUCUCGAAUUAAAAGGAGUUAAAUAAUUAAUUAAAGUUAUUGUGGUAAAAAUAUUUUUAAUAGUUAUUUUGAAAUGAAAAGUUAUUCGUUUUUUAAGAUAUCUAGUUUUUUUAGAAAAAAAUUUAAUUUUAAAUUAGUUUAUUUUAAAUUUAAUUAUUUAAAUUUAAGAAAAAUUUAAUUUUAUAUUUUAAGGGAUAAGCUUUAAAUUAAAAAACUAUAAAAAUUUAUAUUUAAAGAAAAAUUUUAUAAUUUAUAUUGUUAAUAAAAUUUAAUUUAUUAUAAAUAAUUUUUUUUUUAUAGUAAAAUUUAUUUAAUAUUUUAGGUUUUUAUAAAAAAAUAAUUUUUAAUUAGAAAAAUUUAAUUAAAAUGAUAAAAUUAGUAUAUUUAUAAAAAAUAAAAUUGUAGUAUUGAUAAUAUAUGAUUUUAAGGAAUUCGGCAAAAAUUUAUAUUCGCCUGUUUAUCAAAAACAUGUCUUUUUGUUUAUAAUUUAAAGUCUAAUCUGCCCACUGAUAAAUUAUUAAAGGGCUGCAGUAUUUUGACUGUACAAAGGUAGCAUAAUAAAUAGUCUUUUAAAUGGAGACUAGAAUGAAUGAUUGGACGAAAUAUAGACUGUCUCAAUAUUAAAAAUUGAAUUUAAUUUUUUUAUUAAAAAGUUAAAAUGUGAUUAAAAGACGAGAAGACCCUAUAGAGUUUUAUAAAAAUAUUAAUUAUAGUUAAUUUUAUAAAUUUAAAAUGAUAAUUUAUUAUAUUUUUAUUUUGUUGGGGUGAUAGUAAAAUUAAAAAAACUUUUAUUUUUAAUUGACAUUAAUAAGUGAAUUUAAUGAUCCAAAAUUUUUGAUUAUAAGAAAAAAUUACCUUAGGGAUAACAGCGUAAUUUUUUUUUUUAGUUCAAAUAAGAAAAAAAGUUUGCGACCUCGAUGUUGGAUUAAGAUAAAAUUUAAAUGCAAAAGUUUAAAAUUUUGAUCUGUUCGAUCAUUAAAAUCUUACAUGAUCUGAGUUCAAACCGGUGUGAGCCAGGUUGGUUUCUAUCUUUAAUAAAUUAAAAUAUUUUAGUACGAAAGGAUCAAAUAUUUAGAAUAAUUCUAAAAUAUAUGAAUAUUAUUAAUUAAUAUAGUAUAA